GUGUCAGCCGCCGCGGUAAAACGUAGGGGACAAGCGUUAUCCGGAUUUACUGGGCGUAAAGCGCAUGUAGGUGGCUUGAAAAGUUGGAUGUGAAAGCUCCUGGCUUAACUGGGAGAGGUCAUUCAAAACUGGCAAGCUAGAGGAUGGAAGAGGAGAGCGGAAUUCCCGGUGUAGUGGUGGAAUGCGUAGAUAUCGGGAGGAACACCAGUGGCGAAAGCGGCUCUCUGGUUCGUGCCUGACACUGAGAUGCGAAAGCGUGGGGAGCGAACGGGAUUAGAUACCCGCGUAGUCC
rnacentral:rRNA from 1 species